UUAAAUUGAAGAGUUUGAUCAUGGCUCAGAUUGAACGCUGGCGGCAGGCCUAACACAUGCAAGUCGAGCGGAAACGAGUUAUCUGAACCUUCGGGGGACGAUAACGGCGUCGAGCGGC
rnacentral:rRNA from 1 species